rnacentral:lncRNA from 1 species
AAAUGCCUAAGAAAGUGUAUGUGUAAACCAGGUGCACAGAGAGUAUUUCAUGUCUGGAAUUGUUAAACAGCUCCAUGUUAAACAGCUAAUAGUGUAAGACCUUUAUGCAUCAGAAAUUGCAUUUAGCAAAAUACUCACUAGCUACUGAUGGACCCAUCCUCUACAAAUCUAAACCUUUGAAUCUUUAACACUGUUUGCUACAGCAUGUUGUGAAGGCCACAGAUUCCCCAAACUAAUUAUAUGCUUAUGGUAGAUGAUUCUCUCAAAGCUUUUAAUGAAAGGCCAUGGUGGAGACUGCGUGACAAUUCAGGUCUGCCUUCACCUGUUCAAGCCUGUACUAGAUGACUGCUUCAAAAGAUUUAAUAGACAUGUGAGACACAUCCAGUAUUACUGCUAGAGUUAUUUUCUUAGUAUUCUUGGAUUAUUCACCGUGCACUAAAAAUGUUAUGUAUCAGUAUAACAUUCUGUCCCACACUUUUAUUUUUUUUUCCUGGCUAUUUCAUUUGGGAAAACCUGUAACAUCCCUUAUUUUAUUUUUAAAUUUCAGAAUGCUUGGUCAUGGUAUAAGUAAGUUGCAAUGCAGUCAGGCAUUUGAAAAUGUUUUUAUUAUACUUAACAUUGAACCCCACUACAGAAGCUACAGCUGAUGUCACCUUACCAUAAAAAAUACUUCCAUUGACACCUUGUGAUCUUUCUCGUCUACCUCACAGAGCUGGAUCUGCAGUCUGCAGUAUUAGGGAAGUACACUGGUAUAAUAAGGUUGCUUGAAGAGUACUACAGAGGUUUACAGAAUGUAGUACAGCGAGGAUGAUGACUGCUGGGCAUUGUAUAAGGUGAUGUUGGGGCUGCCCCAUGCCGGCCUCAGCCGGCCCCAGCCGGCUCCAACGGCCCCACUCCAAGGCAGAGCCGGGCCCCACAGCCAAGAUGGUGGCACCUCGGAGGCAGCCUGGAGAAGAGAGGACACUGCACAGCAGAGAGCAGUGAGGGUGAGGGAAGGGUUGAGGAUAAUCCAUCAUCGUCCUGAACUUCAAAAUGACGACAUCUGGACUACAUCCUCACAAUGGUGUAGCACUGACACUUCAAACAAACUCUGA